CGUAAGUAAGAUAGAGAAAAACUAUCGACAUUAUAAACAUAUUGUAAUGUUAACUUGUUAGAAUAGGAGAGGCGAAUACCCAAUAUUUCAAGAAGAAUAAACGAAAAGCGCAGUUUAUUUUGGAUUUUAAAGAGGGAAAACGAAAGAGGUUAACAAGGAGAAAAAGAAAUCAUUUGGACCAUUGGUGAAAUUCAAAUCUAUUGCGUGCAGCAACCAAAUAAUGGAGUAUGUUUGAAAUUAUUAAAGUUAAAUAGUGUAUAUUUAAUUCAAAUAUUUGUUAUAGAUUGUGCAUUUUAUUUUGAUUUUA